rnacentral:rRNA from 1 species
UACGUAGGGGGCUAGCGUUGUCCGGAUUUAUUGGGCGUAAAGAGCGUGUAGGCGGCCAGAUAGGUCUGCUGUGAAAACUCGAGGCUCAACUUCGAGCUGUCGGCGGAAACUAUCUGGCUAGAGUCCGGAAGAGGAGAGUGGAAUUCCUGGUGUAGCGGUGAAAUGCGCAGAUAUCAGGAAGAACACCCGUGGCGAAAGGCGGCUCUCUGGGGACGGUACUGACGCUGAGAGCGAAAAGCGUGGGGG